AUUAAGGUGGCAGAGCCCGGAAUUGCGAAAGACCUAAGCCCUUUCAACGGAGGUCCAAAUCCUCCCCUUAAUA
rnacentral:tRNA from 1 species